rnacentral:tmRNA from 1 species
GCAUUUCCUAUGUGCUGUUAACGCGAUUCAACCUUAAUAGGAUAUGCUAAACACUGCCGUUUGAAGUCUGUUUAGAAGAAACUUAAUCAAGCUAGCAUCAUGUUGGUUGUUUAUCACUUUUCAUGAUGCGAAACCUUUCGAUAAACUACACACGUAGAAAGAUGUGUAUCAGGACCUCUGGACGCGGGUUCAAAUCCCGCCGUCUCCAUAU